rnacentral:rRNA from 1 species
UACAGAGGUCUCAAGCGUUGUUCGGAUUCAUUGGGCGUAAGGGGUGCGUAGGUGGCAUGGUAAGUCGGAUGUGAAAUCCCGGGGCUCAACCCCGGAACUGCAUUCGAUACUGCUGCGCUAGAGUACUGGAGAGGAGAUUGGAAUUUACGGUGUAGCAGUGAAAUGCGUAGAUAUCGUAAGGAAGACCAGUGGCGAAGGCGGAUCUCUGGACAGUUACUGACACUGAGGCACGAAGGCCAGGGGAGCAAACGGG